GAUGAACGCUGGCGGCGUGCCUAAUACAUGCAAGUCGAGCGAACAGACGAGGAGCUUGCUCCUUUGACGUUAGCGGCGGACGGGUGAGUAACACGUAGGUAACCUACCUAUAAGACUGGGAUAACCUCGGGAAACCGGAGCUAAUACCGGAUAAUAUUUCGAACCGCAUGGUUCGAUAGUGAAAGAUGGCUUUGCUAUCACUUAUAGAUGGACCUGCGCCGUAUUAGCUAGUUGGUAAGGUAACGGCUUACCAAGGCAACGAUACGUAGCCGACCUGAGAGGGUGAUCGGCCACACUGGAACUGAGACACGGUCCAGACUCCUACGGGAGGCAGCAGUAGGGAAUCUUCCGCAAUGGGCGAAAGCCUGACGGAGCAACGCCGCGUGAGUGAUGAAGGUCUUCGGAUCGUAAAACUCUGUUAUUAGGGAAGAACAAACGUGUAAGUAACUGUGCACGUCUUGACGGUACCUAAUCAGAAAGCCACGGCUAACUACGUG
rnacentral:rRNA from 1 species